rnacentral:rRNA from 1 species
UUUCCGGUUGAUCCCGCCGGACCUGACUGCUAUCGGAUUGAUACUAAGCCAUGCGAGUCUUUGCAGUAAUGCAAGGCAUACGGCUCAGUAACACGUAGUCAACUUACCCUAUGGACGAGGAUAAUCUCGGGAAACUGAGCAUAAUACUCGAUAGAUCAUAAUGCCUGGAAUGGUUUAUGGUUGAAAUGAUUCGUCGCCAUAGGAUGGGACUGCGGCCUAUCAGCUUGUUGGUGAGGUAAUGGCCCACCAAGGCGAUUACAGGUACGGGCUCUGAGAGGAGAAGCCCGGAGAUGGGUACUGAGACAAGGACCCAGGCCCUAUGGGGCGCAGCAGGCGAGAAAACUUUGCAAUGUGCGAAAGCACGACAAGGUUAAUCCGAGUGAUUUCUGCUAAAGAAAUCUUUUGCAAGUCAUAAAACCACUAGUGAAUAAGGGGUGGGCAAGUUCUGGUGUCAGCCGCCGCGGUAAAACCAGCACCUCAAGUGGUCAGGAGGAUUAUUGGGCCUAAAGCAUCCGUAGCCGGCUCUGUAAGUUUUCGGUUAAAUCCAUGUGCUCAACGCAUGGGCUGCCGAAAAUACUGCAUAGCUAGGAAGUGGGAGAGGUAGACGGUACUCGGUAGGAAGGGGUAAAAUCCUUUGAUCUAUCGAUGACCACCUGUGGCGAAGGCGGUCUACCAGAACACGUUCGACGGUGAGGGAUGAAAGCUGGGGGAGCAAACCGGAUUAGAUACCCGGGUAGUCCCAGCUGUAAACGAUGCAGACUCGAUGAUGCAUUGGCAUAUAGCCAGUGCAGUGUCGCAGGGAAGCCGUUAAGUCUGCCGCCUGGGAAGUACGUACGCAAGUAUGAAACUUAAAGGAAUUGGCGGGGGAGCACCACAAGGGGUGAAGCCUGCGGUUCAAUUGGAUUCAACGCCGGGA